CUGUUGUUCUAUUUUGUUGGUUUCUAGGAUGGCAGUAAUGAUUAAUAGGGACAGUUGGGGGCAUUAGUAUUUAAUUGUCAGAGGUGAAAUUCUUGGAUUUAUGAAAGACUAACUUCUGCGAAAGCAUUUGCCAAGGAUGUUUUCAUUAAUCAAGAACGAAAGUCAGGGGAUCCAAAAAGAUCAGAUACCUUUGUAGUCCUGACCGUAAACUAUGCCGACUAGGGAUCGGACGCAGUUUUGUGACGCGUUUGGCACCUUGUGAGAAAUCAAAGUUUUUGGGUUCUGGGGGGAGUAUGGUCGCAAGGCUGAAACUUAAAGGAAUUGACGGAAGGUCACCACCAGGAGUGGAGCCUGCGGCUUAAUUUGACUCAACACGGGGAAACUCACCAG
rnacentral:rRNA from 1 species